CCUACGGGAGGCAGCAGUGGGGAAUAUUGGACAAUGGGGGCAACCCUGAUCCAGCCAUGCCGCGUGUGUGAAGAAGGCCCUCGGGUUGUAAAGCACUUUCAGUGAGGAAGAACGCCUGGUGGUUAAUACCCAUCAGGAAAGACAUCACUCACAGAAGAAGCACCGGCUAACUCCGUGCCAGCAGCCGCGGUAAUACGGAGGGUGCGAGCGUUAAUCGGAAUUACUGGGCGUAAAGCGCGCGUAGUUGGCUUGAUAAGCCGGUUGUGAAAGCCCCGGGCUCAACCUGGGAACGGCAUCCGGAACUGUCAAGCUAGAGUGCAGGAGAGGAAGGUAGAAUUCCCGGUGUAGCGGUGAAAUGCGUAGAGAUCGGGAGGAAUACCAGUGGCGAAGGCGGCCUUCUGGACUGACACUGACACUGAGGUGCGAAAGCGUGGGUAGCAAACAGGAUUAGAUACCCCGGUAGUC
rnacentral:rRNA from 1 species